rnacentral:lncRNA from 1 species
CUGAACGAUCAGGCCAAAAGUAUCGUUGUACGCUCUUUUAUUCAUUUUAAAUCAACUGUUUUCCACACGGAAAUCUUUUCUUUUAAAAACUCGCUACCACGAGGGGUAGAAAACUAUUUUCGUUUCAUAGAAAUUCUAACUCCAUUAUUACAUUCAUAAAACCAGAUGAAUUCAAAGUAAAAGCAACCGAACCAAAUAAACUGUCUAA